AUUGAACGCUGGCGGCAUGCUUUACACAUGCAAGUCGAACGGCAGCACGGGCUUCGGCCUGGUGGCGAGUGGCGAACGGGUGAGUAAUAUAUCGGAACGUACCCAGAAGUGGGGGAUAACGUAGCGAAAGUUACGCUAAUACCGCAUACGAUCUAUGGAUGAAAGCAGGGGACCGCAAGGCCUUGUGCUCCUGGAGCGGCCGAUAUCUGAUUAGCUAGUUGGUGAGGUAAAGGCUCACCAAGGCGACGAUCAGUAGCUGGUCUGAGAGGACGACCAGCCACACUGGAACUGAGACACGGUCCAGACUCCUACGGGAGGCAGCAGUGGGGAAUUUUGGACAAUGGGCGCAAGCCUGAUCCAGCAAUGCCGCGUGAGUGAAGAAGGCCUUCGGGUUGUAAAGCUCUCUUGUCAGGGAAGAAACGGUAGAGGCUAAUAUCCUUUGCUAAUGACGGUACCUGAAGAAUAAGCACCGGCUAACUACGUG
rnacentral:rRNA from 1 species